UUAGAAUGUUAUAUGUUGUUAAUAUAUUGAAAUUCUAACUUCAUGGUAAGUACAAGCAGGUGGGUGUAUCAUGUAAUAUAAAUGUGUAUUUUUUUGCAUUUAUCUUCAAUAAACUUUAAAAAGUAUUUUCGGAUGAAAUUGUUUAAUCAGUUCUUUAAACACUAAUAUUCACAUGUUAAAAAUUACUGAGAUCAUUUGUAUUGCGUGUGACAUGUCACUAGUAUGCAUAAAAUGCAGUCAGGAAUUAGGAUAAAUAUCUUUCAAAAUGGAAGAAUUGC
rnacentral:misc_RNA from 1 species